CCGAGAUCAGAGUGUAGAUCUGAUCCCCCACGUGAUGACUCAGUCUGUGCCAGACACGGAAGAAAGCCAACACCUCAAGAGUCUCUGGGCCCCCCACCUCUGUGUUCUGGAACGAACCAGCCCCCACUCAGAGGGCCAUCCUCCUGACGGGGGGACAGGACCUCAACAUUUGUCAGCCUGCCCCCAACUACCUGGUGUGAGGCUAAGUUCCAGAUGGUUUCUUUACAGAAUGAGAGAGAUUGUGGGUUCCAGGGGGAUAGCUGUGGAUAUUUCCUCAAAUCAAAGCCAUGGUAUCCAGUUAGGGAAGGCUGUAACUUCUGACACCUCAGGACAUACACCAAACAAGCUGCAAAGAUUCCUGAAGGAAAAUCUCAAACAAUUGGGGGUGGCUCAGAUAAUGAUUGGUGUGAAAUUCAUCUUCUAUGGGAUAACUGGAACUACGGUCCUCCCUUACGUAAUACCCCAAACCAGCUUCUUCUCCUUUCAGAUAGGCUUCCCAAUAUGGGCAGCUUUAUCUUUCAUCAUUUCUGGAUCUAUGACAGUUGUGUCGGCAAAGAAACAAACCAAAGCUCUGCUGAGAGGCAAUCUGAGAGCGAACAUUCUCAGCGCAGUUGUGUCCAGUUUCGGAAUUCUAAUUCUUUCAUACAAUGUAGUAAAAAUCAUCUUCAUGAGCUGUGAGAUGGAAGAUUUAUGUUCCAGUAUCACAUCAGUUGUAACUCAGGAAGAUUGGAGGAUCACUGCUUCUGGACAAGUUGGAGUGACAGAGACUGGGCUCCUUCUUCCCCCUGAAACACCACCACCACCCGCAUCACGAGAAUAUAUGAAAAGAUGAGUUUUAAGACGCUGGACAUUGAUGGUGACAAAGAACUCAAUCCCUAACAAUGAUACAAACAAAGCAAGCCUGCUGACGACUUCCACACACGACUUGCAAGCAUUUCCAGGCCACAGUAUAGGAUUGGAGAAACCAGGUGGAACCAGGAAAACUCUGAUUUGAGGAAAGCAGGGAGCUGGGAGUCAGGAGAAACCAAUGCAUCUGGAGUUUGCAGGACAGAGCACUUGAGAAGAGAGAUCAGCAGAGGACUGGCAGCUGGGAUAAAUAUCUGGAGGAUACACAGAACUCUCCACAGCAAAGCACCAGCAAUCCAACUAACAAACGGGCAAAAGAUAUGAAGAGCCUCUGCUAAACUAACUAUGUGCAUCUGCCAAAUGGACACACGGAAAGGCAUUUAAUAGGACUAGACUAGACUUGAGGGGAAUAUGAAUUAAGGCCAUGACAAGGUGUGACGACCCACCUAACACAAUAUAUACGAUUGUAAAAACGGUGGCAACACUGAAUGCUGUCAAGGAUGUAGGAAAACUGGAUCUGCGCUGGAUUGCUGGGGGGAGUGUAAAAUGGUUCCUGGGAAAAUAUCCCUCAGAAAGUAUUUGUCAAUGUCCUGAACCACUAAAGAUACACUUAACACGCAACCCGGCAACCUCACUCCUCAGCAUCAAUCUCGGAGAAAUGAAAACUGAGUUCCGCCCAAAACCUGUACCUGGUGGUUCAUAGCAGCUCUUUAUGUCACGUGCAAAAACUGGGAAGAGCCAAGCGUCCUACGGCAGAUCAAUGAUCCCACUACGACACAUACAUACGACAGAAGACUGCCAGCACAUAGAAGGAUUGAACGACUGAUCCAUAAAACAGCUUCUCUGGAUCUAAAGAGCAUCAAGCUGAGUGAAACAGCCAAUCUCAAAACAUCACCAAUGGCAUGAUUUCAUGUCCACAGUAUUCUCAGAAUGACGGUACUACAGAGAUGGAGAACAGAUCAGUGGUUAAUGGGAGUAAGUGAUGGUGGAAGGAAAGGAAGAAUGUGUGGCUACAAGGGACGUCUUCGUGGAGACGGGAUGAUACUGUGACAUGACUGUGGGGGCGAUUACACAAAUCUAUGCACAUCGUGAAAUCUCACAGAACCACUCACACGUUAUACUGAUGUUCAUGUCCUGGUUUGGAUAUGUCACCAUAGACCCACACGAUAUAACCUUGGGGAGAAAGCGGAUAAGGGUAAAUGGGACCACCUUGUGCUUUCUUAGAUACUGCCUAUAACUUCCUAUAAUUAUUUCCAUUUAGGUUGAAAAAAAUGGGAAAAAAAGUGGAAAAGACACUUGAAAAAAGACAUAGAGAUGGCAAAUAAGCACACGGGAAGAUGCCACGAGUCAUUAAGAAAACACAAAUUAAGAUCACAGUUACUGGGCAGCUGGGGGGCUCAGUCAGUUAAGGGUCUGACUUUGGCU